rnacentral:rRNA from 1 species
AGUAACACGUGGGUGACCUACCUUCGAGUGGGGGAUAACGUCCCGAAAGGGACGCUAAUACCGCAUAACAUCCCGUCCUUGAACGGAUGGAGAUCAAAGCCGGGGAUCGUAAGACCUGGCGUUUGAAGAGGGGCCCGCGUCUGAUUAGCUAGUUGGUGGGGUAACGGCUCACCAAGGCGACGAUCAGUAUCCGGCCUGAGAGGGCGGACGGACACACUGGGACUGAGACACGGCCCAGACUCCUACGGGAGGCAGCAGUGGGGAAUUGUUCGCAAUGGGCGCAAGCCUGACGACGCAACGCCGCGUGGAGGAUGAAGGUCUUCGGAUUGUAAACUCCUGUUGCCCGGGACGAAAAGCUUCAACUUAAUACGUUGAAGUCUGACGGUACCGGGUGAGGAAGCCCCGGCUAACUCUGUGCCAGCAGCCGCGGUAAUACAGAGGGGGCAAGCGUUGUUCGGAAUUACUGGGCGUAAAGGGCGCGUAGGCGGCCUGUUAAGUCAAACGUGAAGUCCCCGGCCUCAACCCGGGAACUGCGUCCG